rnacentral:rRNA from 1 species
UUACAAAAACAUUUCUUUUAGUUGAUUGUUAAAAGUAAUUUUUGCUCCAUGAUUAAUUUUAAAUAGCUGCAGUAUAUUGACUGUACAAAGGUAGCAUAAUAAUUAGUUUCUUAAUUGGAAUCUGGAAUGAAUGAAUAUAUGAGAGUUUAAUUUUAUUAAUAUUAAUUUUAUAAUUUUAUUUUUGAGUAAAAAAGCUUAAUUAUAUUAUAGGGACGAUAAGACCCUAUAGAUCUUUAAUUUAUUAAUUUGUAUUUUUUUUUGUUAGUAGUAGUUUUAUUUAUUUAUAUUGAUAAAUUUUAAUUGGGGUGAUUAAUAAAUUUAACUUUAUUUUAUUUUUUCAUUAAUUUAUGUUUUUUUGAUCCAUUAUUUUGAUUAAAAGAUAAAGUUACCUUAGGGAUAACAGCGUAAUUUUUAUGGGGAGUUCAUAUUUAUAUAAAAGUUUGCGACCUCGAUGUUGAAUUAAGAUUAGAUUUUGAGGCAGGUUUUAUGGAUCUAAGUCUGUUCGACUUUUAAAUUCUUACAUGAUCUGAUUCCAGACCGGA